rnacentral:rRNA from 1 species
CCUACGGGAGGCUGCAGUGAGGAAUAUUGGUCAAUGGGCGUAAGCCUGAACCAGCCAAGUCGCGUGAUGGAAGAAGGCUCUAUGGAUCGUAAACUUCUUUUAUAGGGGCGUAAAGUGUGGGUCGUGUCCUAAUUUGUAUGUACUUUAUGAAUAAGGAUAGGCGAACUCCGUGCCAGCAGCCGCGGUAAUACGGAGGAUCCGAGCGUUAUCCGGAUUUAUUGGGGUUAAAGGGGGCGUAGGCGGGCUUUUAAGCCAGAAGUGAAAUGCUGGGGCUUAACCAUGGAACUGCCGUUGAUACUGGGGGUCUUGAGUGUGUGUGAGGCAGGCGGAAUGCGUGGUGUAGCGGUGAAAUGCGUAGAUAUCA